AGGAGGUAUGGGGACAGUGUCUGUAAGUGGAUUGCAUGAUAUAGAGGAGGUAUGGGACAGUGUCUGUAAGUGGAUUGCAUGAUAUAGAGGAGGUAUGGGGACAGUGUCUGUAAGUGGAUUGCAUGAUAUAGAGGAGGUAUGGGGACAGUGUCUGUAAGUGGAUUGCAUGAUAUAGAGGAGGUAUGGGACAGUGUCUGUAAGUGGAUUGCAUGAUAUAGAGGAGGUAUGGGGACAGCUUUUAAAUAAAUGAGCCUCAUUCAUGGAAUCCUUGGCUAAAUGCAUUGUGUGUAAAGUGUCAUCCCAGAUUAGCCUGUGCAGUCUGCACUGGCUAAUCAGUGAUGACACCACUAAAAUGGUAUUUUUGUUAAAAGGAAGUCUCUUCUCAAUUGAAAUCCAGUUUAGGUUGAAAGUGUUGUCCCAGAUGAGCCUGUGCUGUCCAAGAAUCUGGGACGACACUGUAUAUGCACAAGCAUUUAGCCUAGUUUUCCCAAACAAUGGCUCAUAUGGAAAAGUGACACGAUACUGGUCAUUGUGGAUAAGUGUAUUAUGGAAUUAGCAAAUGCAGUUAGGGUAGAAGACUUAAGUGAUUAUUUUCAAGUUAUGUUCUAUAAAUGU